rnacentral:rRNA from 1 species
GACGAACGCCGGCGGCGUGCCUAACACAUGCAAGUUGAGCGACGAACCGGGCUUCGGCCCGGGGCAAAGCAGCGAACGGGUGAGUAUCACGUGAGUAACCUACCCCGAUGACCGGGACAACCCGAGGAAACUCGGGCUAAUACCGGAUGUGGUGUCCACACACAAGUGUGGUUAUCAAAGGAAGCUUCGGCCUCCGCAUCGGGUUGGGCUCGCGGCCCAUUAGCUUGUUGGUGAGGUAACGGCUGACCAAGGCCCCGAUGGGUAGCUGGUCUGAGAGGACGAACAGCCACACUGGGACUGAGACACGGCCCAGACUCCUACGGGAGGCAGCAGUGGGGAAUCUUGCGCAAUGCGCGAAAGCGUGACGCAGCAACGCCGCGUGAAGGAAGACGGCCUUCGGGUUGUAAACCUCUUUCAGGAGGGACGAAGGUUCGCCGGCGAACAGCCUGGCGGAUUGACGGUACCUCCACAAGAAGCCCCGGCUAACUACGUGCCAGCCGCCGCAGUAAGAC